rnacentral:rRNA from 1 species
UACGGGGGGGGCAAGCGUUGUUCGGAAUUACUGGGCGUAAAGGGCUCGUAGGCGGCCAACUAAGUCGGAUGUGAAAUCCCCAGGCUCAACCUGGGAACUGCAUCCGAUACUGGAUGGCUUGAAUUCGGGAGAGGGAUGCAGAAUUCCAGGUGUAGCGGUGAAAUGCGUAGAUAUCUGGAGGAGUACCGGUGGCGAAGGCGGUUCUCUGGGACGGUACUGACGCUGAGACGCGAAAGCGUGGGGAGCGAACAGG